rnacentral:lncRNA from 1 species
AGCCAAGUGGACUGUUUUGUUUGGGGUGUGUGACCUGAAGCUCGCUCCACUUUCAUUUUAUCUGCUAUUGAAUACAGUUUAUCCCAUCUUAAAUUUUAUCGAUUAUUUAUGUUUUAAAAUACCUAAAGUUAUAUUAGGAAAGCUGUUUGAAAUGUUUGGACAAAGUUUACAGCUGCUCUGUCAGAAACAACUUGAAGCACUGCCUCAGAUGGAAAUGGCAAGGGCCGUUGCACUCCAGACUGGGACUCAUCAACGCAAACAGCAGGGCCAGGAGGGGUGAAAUGGCUGGCAGCCUUCCAGCUACCACAGAACUCUUGUACUUCAUCCACUAUCGGUCUGCCUCCAUCACCACCAGCAUCUUCAAAUGGAACUAGGACUUUGUCAGUGGACAAUGGGUCCUCAGAUUCAAGGUUCUCAAUGGCUGGGUUCUCAGCUCCUCACUGUAACUGUCAGAAUCUGAUUCCUGACUUUCAGACUCAUUGUCAGAAUUUUUUUACAUCUCCAGAAUUUCCCAAUUUUGUGAGUUGUCUCCUUUUGAAAGGCAUUGCUAAUGCUACAGCUUCUCAUUAGCUACAUACAUAAACAA